UACGAAGGGGGCGAGCGUUGUUCGGAAUCACUGGGCGUAAAGCGCACGUAGGCGGAUCUUUAAGUCAGGGGUGAAAUCCCGGAGCUCAACUCCGGAACUGCCUUUGAUACUGAGGGUCUCGAGUUCGGGAGAGGUGAGUGGAACUGCGAGUGUAGAGGUGAAAUUCGUAGAUAUUCGCAAGAACACCAGUGGCGAAGGCGGCUCACUGGCCCGAUACUGACGCUGAGGUGCGAAAGCGUGGGGAGCAAACAGG
rnacentral:rRNA from 1 species